CGAACGCACGUGAGCCAAGCUGUCUCUAUGAAACUUAAGGAAUUUAACCUUCAGGUGAAAAGGCCUGAAUUUACCUAAUAGACAAGAAGACCCUAUCGAGCUUAAUUAUUAUUCAACAAAAUAAACUAUUCAUUUACUUUCUUAGCUUGUUCACUAAUUUAGUUGGGGCAACUGGGGAACAUUCAAAGCUUCUCCUCAUUUAUAAAUCUUACAAAGACCCAGGUUAUCUGAUCAAAGGAAAAAGCUACCGUAGGGAUAACAGGUUAAUUUUUCUCGAGAGUCCACAUUGACAGAAAAGUUUGGCACCUC
rnacentral:rRNA from 1 species